UUAUGCAGCCUUUUCGAAGAACAUAAGUAUUCCAGAUUCCUCUCAAGUUGUUACUUUUCUUUGUGGCCACAAGGGCAUGGUCAAGGAUGUGACUGAUCUACUCUCGGCCGAAGGGGUUCCACAAGAGAAGAUCAUCUUAAACUUCUAAGCUCUCAAUAUACAGAGUUCUUAACUGGAGCGAGACAAUUCAUUACCUGACAAGGUAGCAGCACGAAAUAAGGCUCGAAAGCUUUG